GCCUCCCCCUGUGAAGCCUGUGCCUGUCAAAUAUGCUCCUUUAAGCUCCAUACCCGAAGGCCGUCCUCUUAAUACUCCUGAUCUCAAGGCUCCUAGUUCCUUUGUCAUCAACCUAUACGAGGAGGCAUAUACUUACCAAACCCUUUCCUAUUAAGUCUACCAAAUGGUCCAUAACGCUAGUCCUCAGAAGCUGAUGUUAUCAAACAUUAUAUCUACCAAAAACAAUAUAUGGCAAAUAAUCAUAUCAUAUCGAAUCAAUAAAAUUUAUGAUUUACCA